rnacentral:rRNA from 1 species
ACGGGCGGAGCGAGCGUUGUUCGGAUUCAUUGGGUGUAAAGGGUGCGAAGGCGGUCGUCUAAGUCGGAGGUGAAAUGUCUACGGCUCAACCGAGGCAUUGCCUCCGAUACUGGACGACUUGAGUGCGGAAGGGGAGCGUGGAAUUCCUGGUGUAGCGGUGAAAUGCGUAGAUAUCAGGAGGAACACCGGUGGCGAAGGCGACGCUCUGGUCCGCAACUGACGCUCAUGCACGAAAGCCAGGGGAGCGAACGG